AGUGAACGCUGGCGGUAGGCCUAACACAUGCAAGUCGAACGGCAGCACAGUAAGAGCUUGCUCUUACGGGUGGCGAGUGGCGGACGGGUGAGGAAUACAUCGGAAUCUACUUUUUCGUGGGGGAUAACGUAGGGAAACUUACGCUAAUACCGCAUACGACCUACGGGUGAAAGCAGGGGAUCUUCGGACCUUGCGCGAUUGAAUGAGCCGAUGUCGGAUUAGCUAGGUGGCGGGGUAAAGGCCAACCAAGGCGACGAUCCGUAGCUGGUCUGAGAGGAUGAUCAGCCACACUGGAACUGAGACACGGUCCAGACUCCUACGGGAGGCAGCAGUGGGGAAUAUUGGACAAUGGGCGCAAGCCUGAUCCAGCCAUACCGCGUGGGUGAAGAAGGCCUUCUGGUUGUAAAGCCCUUUUGUUGGGAAAGAAAAGCAGCAGGUUAAUACCCCGCUGUUCUGACGGUACCCAAAGAAUAAGCACCGGCUAACUUCGUG
rnacentral:rRNA from 1 species